GGACUACAGGGGUAUCUAAUCCCGUUCGCUCCCCUGGCUUUCGCCCCUCAGCGUCAGAAACGAGCCAGGACACUGCCUUCGCCAUUGGUGUUCUUCCGGAUAUCUACGCAUUUCACCACUCCACCCGGAGUUCCAUGUCCCUCUCUCGCUCUCAAGUCCUCCAGUUUUUGAGGGCGUUCACCAGUUAAGCCGGUGAUUGUCGCCUCAAACUUAAAGAACCGCCUGCGGGCGCUUUACGCCCAGUAAUUCCGGACAACGCUUGCCCCCUACGUAUUACCGCGGCGGCUGGCAC
rnacentral:rRNA from 1 species